AGGACACAGUACCUGAGAAGCAGAGGCAUCUUAGUUUGGAAGCUUGAUAACAGAGGAACUGCAAGACGUGGGCUGAAGUUUGAAUCUUGGAUCAAGAAUAACUGUGGAUAUGUUGAUGCAGAA